GACGAACGCUGGCGGCGUGCCUAAUACAUGCAAGUCGAACGAACCGCGACUAAGUGCUUGCACUAAGUCAAGGUGAGUGGCGAACGGGUGAGUAACACGUGGGUAACCUACCUCAUAGUGGGGGAUAACAGUCGGAAACGACUGCUAAUACCGCAUAGGACAUAGGAUCACAUGAUCCAGUGAGGAAAGGUGGCGCAAGCUAUCGCUAAGAGAUGGACCCGCGGUGCAUUAGCUAGUUGGUAGGGUAAAGGCCUACCAAGGCGAUGAUGCAUAGCCGACCUGAGAGGGUGAUCGGCCACAUUGGGACUGAGACACGGCCCAAACUCCUACGGGAGGCAGCAGUAGGGAAUCUUCCGCAAUGGACGCAAGUCUGACGGAGCAACGCCGCGUGAGUGAAGAAGGUCUUCGGAUCGUAAAGCUCUGUUGUUAGAGAAGAACAGCGCAUAGAGUAACUGCUAUGCGUGUGACGGUAGCUAAACAGAAAGCCACGGCUAACUACGUG
rnacentral:rRNA from 1 species